rnacentral:rRNA from 1 species
AUUGAACGCUGGCGGCAGGCCUAACACAUGCAAGUCGAACGAGUGGCGGACGGGUGAGUAAUGUAUGGGAACCUGCCUGAUGGAUGGGGCUAAAUACUGGAAACGGUAGCUAAUACCGCAUACCAUCAGAUGUGCCCAUAUGGGAGUAGGUUGUUGGUGGGGUAACGGCUAACCAAGGCGACGAUCCGUAGCUGGUCUGAGAGGAUGACCAGCCAAACUGGAACUGAGACACGGGCCAGACUCCUACGGGAGGCAGCAGUGGGGAAUAUUGGACAAGGGGCGAAAGCCUGAUGCAGCCAUGCCGCGUGUAUGAAGAAGGCCUUCGGGUUGUAAAGUACUGUCGGCGGGGAGGCGUUACCCGCAGAAGAAGCACCGGCUAACUCCGUGCCAGCAGCCGCGGUAAUUC